GAGUGGCUUCCGGAGCUAACGCGUUAAGUCGACCGCCUGGGGAGUACGGCCGCAAGGUUAAAACUCAAAUGAAUUGACGGGGGCCCGCACAAGCGGUGGAGCAUGUGGUUUAAUUCGAUGCAACGCGAAGAACCUUACCUACUCUUGACAUCCAGAGAACUUAGCAGAGAUGCUUUGGUGCCUUCGGGAACUCUGAGACAGGUGCUGCAUGGCUGUCGUCAGCUCGUGUUGUGAAAUGUUGGGUUAAGUCCCGCAACGAGCGCAACCCUUAUCCUUUGUUGCCAGCGAUUCGGUCGGGAACUCAAAGGAGACUGCCAGUGAUAAACUGGAGGAAGGUGGGGAUGACGUCAAGUCAUCAUGGCCCUUACGAGUAGGGCUACACACGUGCUACAAUGGCAUAUACAAAGAGAAGCGACCUCGCGAGAGCAAGCGGACCUCAUAAAGUAUGUCGUAGUCCGGAUUGGAGUCUGCAACUCGACUCCAUGAAGUCGGAAUCGCUAGUAAUCGUGGAUCAGAAUGCCACGGUGAAUACGUUCCCGGGCCUUG
rnacentral:rRNA from 1 species